ensembl:lncRNA
GACACUUGCAUGGAGCUCAGCUCAGCCCAGAGAUCGCCUGCCCGGUUUCCUCUGGGUGCCUCCUCCACGCUCUAAUCCACAGGGAGGAGCUGAAACUAGGUUUUGUCUUGUCUCUUGAUCCCCCAAACCCAGCUCAGAGCAGGCCUGGGCAGGUGGCUGUCUACCAUCUCCACGCACAAAGAUGUUGGAAGAGACCAGGUGGGACUCCUCCCCUUCGAAGGCAGAUUAACCUUUGGCGCCAUCUAAGGGCCAGCCUGGAAAACACCCACUCCUUCAAGAGCAAGAUCAACCCCUUCCCUGCCCAGUGAGGUGCUGUCUGAUUCUUUGUCCCUCUUGUGUGCCUCCUCUGCUGACUUUGGGGCCAAGUCUCUUGAAGCUUCAGUUUCCUUACCUGGAAAACGGGGGCAGGGACAGGACAAUCGGAACAGGUUCCUUCUGUCUUCCUGCGUGGGGAGGACGGCAGCAGCGGCGGCUCUGGACCCAGUGAAUACUUUGAGUGUGCUGAGCUAUCAUGUAUAUACACCAGCUGGAGAGUGAUGGGAAGACUCUCAACAAAGAAAUAGAAUCAUGCAGGGCCACCCUGCUGAAGUUAUUUAGGCUGAGCCACGCCACUUGUGGGAUCUUAGUUCCCUGACCAGGGAUUGAACCUGCGCCCUUGGCUGAGUCCUAACCACUGAACCACCAGGGAAUUCCCCACCAAUCGUGCUGAAGUGUUCUCUUUUACCAUAUAUGUAUGUGUGUCCUUAAAUGAUGGAUGUGUUUGAAUGUAAAUAAAGGGUUAUCAUAUGUA